ACAAACUUGGUCAUUUAGAGGAAGUAAAAGUCGUAACAAGGUUUCCGUAGGUGAACCUGCGGAAGGAUCAUCAUAAAAUAAUUAUGAUUUUUUUGGAGUAUGUAUAUUAUUAUAUGCAUAUUCUAAAAAAUUAUCCAUACGCCCCAUAUAUAAUUAUUACGCAGUUAUAAAUUAUAUUAUAAAAACAUUAUUAAUACGUCAUACAACUUUUAACGAUGGAUCUCUUGGCUCUCGCAUCGAUGAAGAACGCAGC
rnacentral:misc_RNA from 1 species